CUUGAGGAGCCUGAGGGCGUGGACUGGGCGGGGCUGAAGUGGAGGCCCGGACGGCGGUGCGUCAUGACGUCACGGAGCGCUUAUAUACUCGGUUCGGCCGCCAUAUCGGCCUUUCGGAGCUGUUCUCAGGAUUGAACAGGAAUGAUGCUGUGGACCUCUGUGAUGGGGUGUGUGCUAUCUCAAGCAGUUCUGGGGCAAAGAUGGAUGAAAACUGAUGGCUUAUGAAGAAGCUGUAUGUAAUGAGCGUGCAGGG